UACGUAGGGUGCGAGCGUUAAUCGGAAUUACUGGGCGUAAAGCGUGCGCAGGCGGUUGUGCAAGUCAGCUGUGAAAUCCCCGGGCUUAACCUGGGAACUGCAUUUGUGACUGUACAGCUGGAGUGCGGCAGAGGGGGAUGGAAUUCCGCGUGUAGCAGUGAAAUGCGUAGAUAUGCGGAGGAACACCGAUGGCGAAGGCAAUCCCCUGGGCCUGCACUGACGCUCAUGCACGAAAGCGUGGGGAGCAAACAGG
rnacentral:rRNA from 1 species